GACGAACGCUGGCGGCGUGCUUAACACAUGCAAGUCGAGCGGUAAGGCCCUUUCGGGGGUACGACGAGCGGCGAACGGGUGAGUAACACGUGGGUGACCUGCCCUCAGCUCUGGGAUAAGCCUGGGAAACCGGGUCUAAUACUGGAUAUGACUCCAUGACGCAUGUUGUGGGGUGGAAAGCCUUGUGCGGCUGAGGAUGGGCCCGCGGCCUAUCAGCUUGUUGGUGGGGUGANGGCCUACCAAGGCGACGACGGGUAGCCGGCCUGAGAGGGCGACCGGCCACACUGGGACUGAGACACGGCCCAGACUCCUACGGGAGGCAGCAGUGGGGAAUCUUGCGCAAUGGGCGAAAGCCUGACGCAGCGACGCCGCGUGAGGAUGACGGCCU
rnacentral:rRNA from 1 species